UACGAGGUGGACAAACGUUAUUCGGAUUUACUGGGCUUAAAGCGUGCGUAGGCGGCUCAGAAAGUUGGGUGUGAAAGCCCUCGGCUCAACUGGGGAGGGUCACGCGAUACUGAUCGACUCGAAGGCAGGAGAGGGUAGUGGAAUUCCCGGUGUAGUGGUGAAAUGCGUAGAUAUCGGGAGGAACACCAGUGGCGAAGGCGACUACCUGGCCUGUUUCUUGACGCUGAGGCGCGAAAGCUAGGGGAGCAAACGGG
rnacentral:rRNA from 1 species